rnacentral:lncRNA from 13 species
ACAUAAGACCAGGACAACUGUCUUGGUGAAUGUUGCCCAGAUCCCUCUCUUUAUGAUGUCCUCUUUAUGAUGUCUCUUUAUGAUGUCCUUAUGAUGAUCCCAGUUCCACUGGGAUAACUCAGAUUGGUUCAGCCCAAAGUACCCCCAGAUACCUCAGUAACACAUAAAAUAUAACUUUGUCCCCUAAUGGGAAAGAAUAGGAGAUUUCUAUGCCAACCAGAAGAUGGAUGGAUAUCAAGACGGACAGUGGAAAAGUUAUGAGAAAGUGAUGAAACAGAGCAGCAGGAUCAAAACGAUGUCAGCAUCAAUACUUUCAGGAUGAGCAUCUGUGGCCUGAAGAACAUUCCAGAGACAACAGUGGAGCCUUCUUUGAAGAACUUCCGCAUUACCGACAUUCUUGAUGGCAUCCUCCACCAAGCCAUACUCUCAGAUUGCUUCUUUCAUCUGACAUUUUCAUGGAGUCCACCGUUAUUAAAAUUCCCCAACCAACCCUGGAGCUGUCAUUUGUUGACCGUAGUCAACAAAUCUAUUCUGUGCCAACAAAAGAACACUAGUCAUGGUGGUCCUAGGAAGAGUUUGUACAUUUUGCACCUGGCUUUAGGUAUGUAAAACUCCCAUCUUUGCCAUCAAACUCAAAGGAGUAACUCAAAUGAUGGACAUUUCCAUUUAAGUCUGAGGGAAGCAUUUUGUUAAGAAAAUGCUGUACAAGUCUGUAAAUUUCCACCUAUUAAAAAGAGGGUAUGGAUCAGUGGCAGAGACAAAGCUGUGCGCUCACCAAACCCAUUUCAUGCUCUUCCUGGUUACAUAGCAAAGCUACUCUUGCCAGUUUCCCUGCGCAGUCGCUGGGGCCUUGUGAUGAGUUCUGGCCGACUUAAUGCAUAACACUCUCAGGCCUAGACCUAAAGCUCCCAGAGUCAUCCUGUCCUGUCUCAGCUCCCAUCUUCCACCUGGAUAAGGAUGCAGGCUUGGAGACAAGAAUGCUCAGGGCAGCCUCCAGACGCAAGCACUGAAAAUGGGGGAGCCACCAUUCGGAAGGAGCCUGGAUCCUGAAUGUCUGCAGAGUGCACGCUCCCGACUUUCACUGACCACGUCACUUUGUAACAUAUGGGAGAAAGUCACUUUAACUGUGGUUAAGCCACUGAGAUGUAGUGGUUAUUUUUUUUACGGCAGCUAGCUGUCUUUACCUUGAAUACUAUAGGUAUUGAUUUUUUUGAUAGGACUAAUACAAGGAUUAAUUCAUUUGUUUGUUUUUCAAUUCAUUCAACAAGUAUCUUUUCAGAUCUGUUAUUCAAGAGUCAUGCUCUAGAUGUCAGUUCAUGAAGUAGACAGACAACUGUGACUAAGAGCUUGGACUUUGGAAUAAAAAUAGGGGUUCAGGUCCUGGCUCUGUCA